ACUGGGUGAAGUUUGUCGUA
rnacentral:miRNA from 2 species